rnacentral:lncRNA from 1 species
GGGCCGGCCGCGCUUUGUUACUGGUGAGGAUUGCUAGUACCUGGAGCACUGCUGGCCCCGGAGGAGCGCCCCGAAUGGAGGGACCCAGCUGAAGCCUGGCCUAGGAGCCAGGAUGGCCACCCAUAAAACCUUGCUGAUGUGCCUAGGACUGCCUCUCUUCUUCCCGGGAGCCUUGGCCCAGAAUCAUGCCCCACCUGGCUGUAGCCCAGACCUGGAUCCCCUCUACUACAACCUUUGUGACCGCUCGGGGGCCUGGGGCAUUGUCUUGGAGGCAGUGGCCGGGGCAGGCAUCAUCACGACCUUUGUGCUAACCAUUAUCCUUGUGGCUAGCCUCCCAUUUGUGCAGGACACUAAGAAGCGGAGUCUCCUGGGGACCCAAGUGUUCUUCCUGCUGGGCACCCUGGGCCUCUUCUGCCUCGUGUUUGCCUGCGUGGUGAAGCCAGACUUCUCGACCUGUGCCUCUCGACGGUUCCUCUUUGGGGUCCUGUUUGCCAUCUGCUUCUCCUGCCUGAUAGCCCACACCCUCUCCCUCAACUUCCUAGCCCGGAAGAACCAUGGGCCCCGAGGCUGGGUUAUCUUCACUGUGGCUCUGCUUCUCACCCUUGUGGAGGUCAUCAUUAACACCGAGUGGUUGAUUAUCAC